rnacentral:rRNA from 1 species
AUUGAACGCUGGCGGCAGGCCUAACACAUGCAAGUCGAAUGGUAACAGGAAACAUCUUGCUGUUUCGCUGACGAGUGGCGGACGGGUGAGUAAUGUCUGGGAAACUGCCUGAUGGAGGGGGAUAACUACUGGAAACGGUAGCUAAUACCGCAUAACGUCGCAAGACCAAAGAGGGGGACCUUCGGGCCUCUUGCCAUCAGAUGUGCCCAGAUGGGAUUAGCUAGUAGGUGGGGUAACGGCUCACCUAGGCGACGAUCCCUAGCUGGUCUGAGAGGAUGACCAGCCACACUGGAACUGAGACACGGUCCAGACUCCUACGGGAGGCAGCAGUGGGGAAUAUUGCACAAUGGGCGCAAGCCUGAUGCAGCCAUGCCGCGUGUAUGAAGAAGGCCUUCGGGUUGUAAAGUACUUUCAGCGGGGAGGAAGGGAGUAAAGUUAAUACCUUUGCUCAUUGACGUUACCCGCAGAAGAAGCACCGGCUAACUCCGUG